AUUGAACGCUGGCGGCAGGCCUAACACAUGCAAGUCGAGCGAGCGGCGGACGGGUGAGUAAUGUAUGGGGACUGCCCGAUAGAGGGGGAUAAUUCUGGAAACGGUGGCUAAUACCGCAUACUAUUGGGUGACCCAUAUGGGAUUAGCUAGUAGGUAAGGUAAUGGCCUACCUUGGCGACGAUCCCUAGCUGGUCUGAGAGGAUGAUCAGCCACACUGGGACUGAGACACGGCCCAGACUCCUACGGAGGCAGCAGUGGGGAAUAUUGCACAAUGGGCGCAAGCCUGAUGCAGCCAUGCCGCGUGUAUGAAGAAGGCCCUAGGGUUGUAAAGUACUUUCAGUCGGGAGGCGUUACCGACAGAAGAAGCACCGGCUAACUCCGUGCCAGCCGCCGCGGUAAUAC
rnacentral:rRNA from 1 species